ACGACCUGACUUGAAUAGGAUAUAAUCUAUAGGCUCGUACCUCUAUGUCCUCAAGUUCAAAGGAGACAGGAUUCCAAGUCUAGUUGAUGAACCACGACUAUGUGAUCUGAGCGUGAUUACUGGUUUGGUGUAUCCCUUGCUGGUUUCACUUCAACCGCAGAGGAUCGUUCUCAUCUUGCCUUGCGCGGCUGGGAAGGUCACGCAGUUGUCUGACAGACU
rnacentral:snoRNA from 1 species